UACGUAGGGACCAAGCGUUGUUCGGAUUUACUGGGCGUAAAGGGCGCGUAGGCGGCAAUUCAAGUCAUCUGUGAAAUCUCCGAGCUUAACUCGGAACGGUCAGAUGAUACUGCUUUGCUAGAGUGCAGAAGGGGCAACCGGAAUUCUUGGUGUAGCGGUGAAAUGCGUAGGUAUCAAGAGGAACACCGGAGGUGAAGACGGGUUGCUGGGCUGACACUGACGCUGAGGCGCGAAAGCUAGGGUAGCAAACGGG
rnacentral:rRNA from 1 species